UACGUAGGGUGCAAGCGUUAAUCGGAAUUACUGGGCGUAAAGCGUGCGCAGGCGGUUGUGCAAGACAGAUGUGAAAUCCCCGGGCUUAACCUGGGAAUUGCAUUUGUGACUGCACGGCUAGAGUGUGUCAGAGGGGGGUAGAAUUCCACGUGUAGCAGUGAAAUGCGUAGAGAUGUGGAGGAAUACCGAUGGCGAAGGCAGCCCCCUGGGAUAACACUGACGCUCAUACACGAAAGCGUGGGGAGCGAUCCGG
rnacentral:rRNA from 1 species